GUGAGAAGCUGCUACUGACCAGCAGAGGGAAGUGGCGGCAGCUGGUGUUGGGGCUGAGGGCUUCCAGGCCAGGCUGGGAAAGGGCUCUCAGUGUAGCAAGGGCAGGGAGAAGGCCCAGGCUGGAAGGUCCACUCCUCAUUCUCCCUGCCCCACCCUGCCAUGCCCAUCCUGAUGGUCACCAUGGCCUGUACCAGGCCUCCGGCGGAGAAGCUGGGCACCACGUACUUCACGUCAAAGUCGCGAGAGGCCGCGUAGGGGGUGCGCGGGCACUGCCAGUCCUCGCCCGCCGCGGGCUUGGCAGGCAACAGCAGCAGCAACAGGAAGGACUGAGGCAGCGGCGGGAGGAGCUCCAUCGAGGCGAGCUGGGACCCUAGAGGAUCCCUACCGGCCUGGGCCUGGACCUGGGCGUGGGCCUGGCUGGGGGCCCGACUCGAGGUCUGGACUGGGCCAAAUUUAAGCAGCGGUCCCGACAGCCCCAAGAUAGCGGACCCCCGCCCCAGGUUCCUGUGAAACCCAAAUCCCUUCCCGGCCCUCGGGUCUGAGCACCUGACGCCUGCGGACGCACGACAGCAACGCCCCAGCCGCCUCACCUGCCGCCCCAGCCGCCGCUGUACACUGGCGCUUAGCGCUCAGCCGACCCGAGGGCGCCGGGCUGGGCGGGCGGAGUCGGGCCGUGGGGGCGGGGCCGCGAGGAAGGCUUGGCCUAGCCCAGGCCCUCCGCCCAUCCGACUCUUCCGGCCCUUGGAGGCCUGGCUCCUGUACCUUCACCUGGCGUCUUGGCGCCUUUUUCUCAGCGGCCUGUGGGUGGAUGUGCAUGGUGUGGCCUGGAGAGAGGGGGAUUCUCACUCUCUCCAAAGGCAAAGCCCAUGUCAGAGGCAACUUUGGUCCUCGCCGCAGCCCCAUGAGGCCAGCAGUGUUGUUAUCUUCUGUUCAGGUGAGGACCUUGAAGCUCAGAGAGGUAGAGGGACUUACCCUCAGUCACACAGCACAUCCCAGCCCUCUGGUCUGCAGGGGUCCAAAACCUGCUAUGAAUGAACCUUGGCCAGGGGAGCCCGCCCCAUUCCCUCUCCAGGUG
rnacentral:lncRNA from 1 species